rnacentral:rRNA from 1 species
ACGAGAGGACCGGAGUGGACGUACCUCUGGUGUACCGGUUGUCAUGCCAAUGGCAUUGCCGGGUAGCUAAGUACGGAAGAGAUAACCGCUGAAGGCAUCUAAGCGGGAAACUCGUCUGAAGAUUAGGUAUCCCGGGGACUUGAUCCCCCUGAAGAGUCGUUCGAGACCAGGACGUUGAUAGGUCGGGUGUGGAAGCGCAGUAAUGCGUUAAGCUAACCGAUACUAAUUGCUCGUGAGGCUUGAUCCUAUAACACUGAUGGUU